UUCUAACGUGGACCCGUAAUCCGGGUUGCGGACAGUGUCUGGUGGGUAGUUUGACUGGGGCGGUCUCCUCCUAAAGAGUAACGGAGGAGCACGAAGGUUGGCUAAUCCUGGUCGGACAUCAGGAGGUUAGUGCAAUGGCAUAAGCCAGCUUGACUGCGAGCGUGACGGCGCGAGCAGGUGCGAAAGCAGGUCAUAGUGAUCCGGUGGUUCUGAAUGGAAGGGCCAUCGCUCAACGGAUAAAAGGUACUCCGGGGAUAACAGGCUGAUACCGCCCAAGAGUUCAUAUCGACGGCGGUGUUUGGCACCUCGAUGUCGGCUCAUCACAUCCUGGGGCUGAAGUAGGUCCCAAGGGUAUGGCUGUUCGCCAUUUAAAGUGGUACGCGAGCUGGGUUUAGAACGUCGUGAGACAGUUCGGUCCCUAUCUGCCGUGGGCGCUGGAGAACUGAGGGGGGCUGCUCCUAGUACGAGAGGACCGGAGUGGACGCAUCACUGGUGUUCGGGUUGUCAUGCCAAUGGCACUGCCCGGUAGCUAAAUGCGGAAGAGAUAAGUGCUGAAAGCAUCUAAGCACGAAACUUGCCCCGAG
rnacentral:rRNA from 1 species